rnacentral:tRNA from 1 species
AGCUUUAUAGUUGAACCUAACAACAUUAGACUGCAAACCUAAAGGUGUGCUUACCACUAAAGCUU